rnacentral:rRNA from 1 species
AUUGACCUCUUGCGGCAGGCCUAACACAUGCAAGUCGAGCGGAUCUGCGGACGGGUGAGUAAUGCCUAGGAAUCUGCCUGGUAGUGGGGGAUACCGUCCGGAAACGGGCGCUCAUACCGCAUACUAUCAGAUGAGCCUAGGUCGGAUUAGCUCGUUGGUGGGGGAAAGGCCUACCAAGGCGACGAUCCGUAACGGGUCUGAGAGGAUGAUCAGUCACACUGGAACUGAGACACGGUCCAGACGCCUACGGGAGGCAGCAUGGGGGAAUAUUGGACAAUGGGCGAAAGCCUGAUACAGCCAUGCCGCGUGUGUGAAGAAGGUCUUCGGAUUGUAAAGCACUUUAAGUUGGGAGGCGUUACCAACAGAAUAAGCACCGGCUAACUUCGUGCCAGCAGCCGCGGUAAUUC